GACGAACGCUGGCGGCGUGCUUAACACAUGCAAGUCGAACGGAAAGGCCCUGCUUUUGUGGGGUGCUCGAGUGGCGAACGGGUGAGUAACACGUGAGUAACCUGCCCUUGACUUUGGGAUAACUUCAGGAAACUGGGGCUAAUACCGGAUAGGAGCUCCUGCUGCAUGGUGGGGGUUGGAAAGUUUCGGCGGUUGGGGAUGGACUCGCGGCUUAUCAGCUUGUUGGUGGGGUAGUGGCUUACCAAGGCUUUGACGGGUAGCCGGCCUGAGAGGGUGACCGGCCACAUUGGGACUGAGAUACGGCCCAGACUCCUACGGGAGGCAGAAGUGGGGAAUAUUGCACAAUGGGCGGGAGCCUGGUGCGACAACGCCGCGUGCGGGAUGACGGCCUUCGGGUUGUAAACCGCUUUCGCCUGUGACGAAGCGUGAGUGACGGUAAUGGGUAAAGAAGCACCGGCUAACUACGUG
rnacentral:rRNA from 1 species